rnacentral:rRNA from 1 species
UAAUACGUAGGGGGCAAGCGUUGUCCGGAAUCAUUGGGCGUAAAGCGCGCGUAGGCGGCCCGGUAAGUCCGCUGUAAAAGUCAAAGGCUCAACCUUUGAAUGCCGGUGGAUACUGUCGGGCUAGAGUCCGGAAGAGGCGAGUGGAAUUCCUGGUGUAGCGGUGGAAUGCGCAGAUAUCAGGAGGAACACCAAUAGCGAAGGCAGCUCGCUGGGACGGUACUGACGCUAAGGCGCGAAA